GAAAUGCGAUAAGUAGUGUGAAUUGCAGAAUUCAGUGAAUCAUCGAAUCUUUGAACGCACAUUGCGCCCCUUGGUAUUCCAUGGGGCAUGCCUGUUCGAGCGUCAUUUGUGCCCUCAAGCUCUGCUUGGUGUUGGGUGUUUGUCCCCGUCUCCGCGCGUGGACUCGCCCCAAAGUGAUUGGCAGCCGGCGUACUGGUCCCGGAGCGCAGCACAUGUCGCGCAAACGAGUGCCUUGGUACGGCGGCGUCCAUAAGCCCCUCUCUCACGCUCUUGACCUCGGAUCAGGUAGGGAUACCCGCUGAACUUAAGC
rnacentral:misc_RNA from 1 species